UAUGCAUAUCAAUGUUAUGAAGCUAGUAGCAUAGCAUCUCUCGCCAUUGAAUACCGGCGGUGGACGUCAACAACCCUCAUCGAAUAUUCAAAAAGAGAUUGCAAUAAUUAGAUGUAUCCACCAAUCCAAAGAAAGGAUAGGCGGAGCUAGACAGCCCGUCGUGCCGCUUUGUGGACAACUACUCCCAUUGCUAUGCCCGGUUUACGAUAGCACGCGGUACCGACUUUAUGUAAAUCACCAGCGGCGACCGCUGGGGGAUGAUCAAUCAAUAUCGAGUGGUUACCCUGACGAAUUUGACGCUAUGAGACCCAAGGCUGGACAAAAAAUACUAGGAUGGAAGCAAAUGGACUCCUGAAACAACCAGCAAACCAGGCUGUCGUCUUCUGAAACAGUGGAUGUAAAGAGUCUAGCUAGCUAAAGCAUUUACUGCAAAUUGAAUGUACAAUUUUGUAAGCUUGCCUUGCUGAUAUUUGCUAUGCAAUGCAGCUGAAGUAACGUAGCUAACUAACUAUUUUAUUGCUUAUUGUGCAGUGGAGGAUAAAAAAUACCUGUAUAGCUAGCUAUGUAGCCGAUCUGUGUAUGGACCCUAAAACGUUUGGUAUAAAUAUUAGUUCAGAACCUAGCUAUGAACCUCAGCUAUCAUAGCCGGUUGUAUCAACUUCAAAACAGUCUGAAUGACAUUAAUGAAGCCUAUGGAUUGAGUUGAAUAUAAUAUAACUUUGUGCCAAGGGAUGCAAGUCUUAAAUACAUGUAGUUAUUACCAUGCAUGAGAUCCCCACAUUGUAGCCUGUACAUUGAAUAUAUUCACUGAUCAUGUACUCUACCUUGGCAAAUAAAGGUGCAGUUCAGGUAUGAA